UCUGCCUUGCUGCCCAAGUCUACGUGACAUCUGCCUUGCUGCCCAAGCCUACAUGACAUGAUGCCUUUAUAUAUAUAUAUUGUCCUUGCUCUUCCAUUUGUGCAUCUUUGGGCGUAUUUUGUAUCGAUUUGUCUUUGAAAGACUGAUUGGUCUCGUGCUCUAGACUUCUUGAUAUCACCUUAUCAUAUAUUCACUUCUUCGACGAUUGAUCCAGGUUAAUUAGGAGCUGGAAGCGCAUAAGUCUUAUCUUCUCCAAGCUUUCUUGCGCGAUGUCCUGGUAAUGUGAAGAGUAUCAUUGGAUAUGCAUUCUUAAUGGGGCCUGGUGUUUUCUCAUGGGUUUCAAGGAAGCAAGAUAGUUCGAGUCAGAGAAAUCCAAACUAGUUAUGCAGAUGGAUAUAGUUGUAAAGGAAAGUGAAGAAGGUAAUUCUUCCAAGAAAGCUGAGGACUCGAAAUCUAGCUUUGUUGGAUGAGUAAAUUCCUUGGAUGAGACUUGGAUUGACUUGCUUUGAUGUUUUAAGCUUUGCUUUAUUUCAAAAAAUGGCUUGUAACCUAUGCAUCUUUUGUUUUUGUUAAGUAUUUGAUUAUCUAAGGAAUAUCCCACCUUAAAUA